rnacentral:rRNA from 1 species
AUUGAACGCUGGCGGCAUGCCUUACACGUGCAAGUCGAACGGCAGCAUGGAGAGCUUGCUCUCUGAUGGCGAGUGGCGAACGGGUGAGUAAUGCAUCGGAACGUACCGUGUAAUGGGGGAUAACGUAGCGAAAGUUACGCUAAUACCGCAUACGACCUGAGGGUGAAAGCAGGGGAUCGCAAGACCUUGCGUUAUACGAGCGGCCGAUGUCAGAUUAGCUAGUUGGUGAGGUAAAGGCUCACCAAGGCGACGAUCUGUAGCGGGUCUGAGAGGAUGAUCCGCCACACUGGGACUGAGACACGGCCCAGACUCCUGCGGGAGGCAGCAGUGGGGAAUUUUGGACAAUGGGGGCAACCCUGAUCCAGCCAUGCCGCGUGAGUGAAGAAGGCCUUCGGGUUGUAAAGCUCUUUCGGCCGGGAAGAAAUCGCACAGGCUAAUACUCUGUGUGGAUGACGGUACCGGCAUAAGAAGCACCGGCUAACUACGUGCCAGCCGCCGCAGUAA